UUUGCGAUAGCUCAGUCCGGUAGAGCAGUCACCCAGUGGUGAUCCGUCGCAGGUUCGAAUCCUGCUCGCAAAA
rnacentral:tRNA from 1 species